CUGUAAUCUUUAUCACAUAGGUGUCGGAUUUUAUUUCUCACUCUACGGGUGUCAGAAAAAUAUGAAACUUUAAAUCUAGCCUCAUAAAAAUAUUUCUGACUUAUCCUCCAAUUUUCAUAAUUUUCUGAGACUGUGCAUUUUCUGCUAAUUUAUCUGUCCCGUUUCUAACAGAAAAUUAUAGAUCUUCUGUUUUCAUUCCGAUUUCAGCACAAGUCACUUCUGACUUAUGUUUAACUUCUAUAAAUCCAAUAAAAAUUGUUUCUCACACUAUUUUUAUUUAUUUUUAUUUUUAUACCAAAAUCU
rnacentral:lncRNA from 1 species